rnacentral:lncRNA from 1 species
UCAAAAUCCCUCAUUGCAAAUUCCAAAAUUACCCCUAAAAGACCCCAUUUUGCCAUCUGUUGAAGCCCUAAAAGAAACCCUAGAGGUUUCUCUAUAAAAGGCUGGAUGGAGGAGCAAAAGGGGGGGUUGGGAAUUUUGAUUGGAGGGUGUUGAAAAAAUUCAGGUUCGAAAAGAGAGAAAAAACAAAAAGAAUCUGUCGGAGAAAAAAUUCAAUCUCUGUGGUAGAAAUUCUGUUUUCCGAAAGUUCGUUGGCUAGAUUAGAGCUUCAGGUUGAAGGCGAAAAUGUUUUUUCUAGUGGUUGUGAUUCCGAUGAAGCUUCGAGUCCCGUUUUGCUGCCCUGAAAAAGGUAAACAUACUCUCAUCCCUUUUAAUUUCGUCAAUUUUCCUCUUCAUCCCUUUUCUCCGUAGAAUUAGUUAAUCAUUUAGUUGUAAUCGUGAUAGUGUUGGGUUUGUUUUCCGUAGAAGCCUCGUUAGCCGUAGGUUUUGCCUGUGAUAGUGAUGUUAUGUUGUUCGUCGAUUCAACAUUCGUAGUCUGCAAUAGGGAGUUGUCUUAGUUUUUCAGUGACUCUUGUGUUUGCUGAUAUCAUUGUUUAAAUGAGUUAUUCAUCCACUGUUGCCUGUUGUGGGAGUAGAUAGUUUCGAAAAUUCAUGAUUCACUAGUGUGUAAGCAGGCUGGGCUUGUCUAAAUCUCGAAUAAUUUCGAUAAUCCAUGUUUGGCGUGAACAUAUUUCGAUUUCCAGCAUAGUAAAUAAAGAAUUUUGUGCCAUUUCCAGACUCGAUGUUAAUAUGUGCUCAUUGAUUUCAUUCUGAUAUUUUCCUUUCAUGUGUGCUUAUUGUGUUCAAAAUGCAUAAAUUGACUUCACAAUUUAUUUAGGUUUCUUUGACUGAGUUCAACCGAAGCUAAGACGGUAAUUUGGUUAUCUCGACAUGUAACAUUGAACUAUGUCAAUCAAACAGCAAUUUUUUUUAAAACAGUUGAUUUUUUCUUGUUUUCCUUUGCUAUUUUGAUCACUUAUAUGCUUCUUUGAUAUACCUGAAAGCAAGGUUCGCCAUUUCUUUUACUGGCUGCCCAUUUGUUUCUGCUUUCUCCUUGUUCAUUCGAUUAUAGUAGAAUCUCCCUCAUAUCCUUUGAUCCAUAUUAUCAUUGGGAGUGGAAGGGCUGGUUCAUGAAUGAUGUGCGUUUGGUCCGAGGAUCCUCCCACGUCACUUUUGAUAUAUAGAAAAAUCCUCACGGUGUGUCAAGGGAGGAGAAGGAUAAAUUUGGGGUGUAUUUCUUUACCUAUUUUGGAUCAGUUAUAUUUUUGUGUUUAGUGAAACAACGCACUUGUAGUAUGUGUUCUGUGAGGAUUUCGUUAAAUUGCCUUCGUAAUAGCUAUUUGUUUACAUUCGACUGAAGGAUCGAGCAGUUCUCUAUAUGUUUCCGUUAUCCUUUAAUUUUUAUGUGUUCAAAAGUUCCUUUGUUGCCGUAAUUAUUUCUAAGUCCGGUAAUUGUUCAACUGCUUGUUACCCAGAUGAAAUGACAACUGCUUAUCCGUAUCUUUUCUUUUACUCUCAUCUCUUUUCGUAUUUUUGCUCUUAAAUUGUUGUAUGUGUUCUGUGAGAAUUCUGUUCCUAAUACUGAUUGUUUGAACUCAAUUGAAGAAUUCAGCAUUUCUAGAUUUUCGCCGACUUUAAUUUGUUGUUGUGAGUAUCUUUUCUUUUUCUCUCAUUUUUUCUUAUUUUAGUUUUUGCUAUUAGGUUGUAAAACUAAAUUGUUGCAUGUGUUCUGUGAAAAUUCCAUUCGUAGUAUUUUAUUUUUUACCAUUAGCGUCCUCCUAUAAUGUUUGUGUCCAAAUGUUCCUUCGUUGCAUCUUUGUUUUAAUUCCAGAAGAGCAAUAGAUUUUUUGUUAUUGAACCGCUUGUUAUCCACAUGAAAAUAUAUACAAACUCUGUUUUUCUUUUUUAUUAGAUCUGUGGUUUGGCAAUUUCUAAAUUUUCAGUAGUUCAUUCUUCCUUCUGAAUUUGUACUAGCAAUUGAACUAGAUGAUUUAAAUGGACCCAGACGGAAUAUUUGAGUUGAGACUGAUCAUUUGGGAUUAAAAGAGUUAAGAGUUCGCUUCGGUUUGACUAAUGAAAUUGGCCUUAAUUUUUGGAUGUUUUCUUUUCCUCAUUCAUAUAAAACUUGAUCACAUUGUUUAUUAAUUAUCAAAUGAAGUUUUCUCAAAGCCAUUGCUAUUCCUCCCAAUAAUUGAAUGUCUUUAAUUAAUUAUAGAUGUUUUUCCUCAAAUUUUAUAGAUUGCUGCUCCUGUCACAUUUUCCUUAUAUGCAAGCAUAUUUAAAUAUAGUACGAAUUUCAUUGUUUAUUAAAAUCUUGGACGUAUGCUAAUUUCUUCAUUUCUUUCUUUGCAUGCACCUGCCUUGGAGUUUAAAUGGGCUCCUUCUCUCUUUGCAUUUCAUAAACAGGCCAAUGAGGCCUAUCUUUCCGAAUUAAGCCCAAAAAAAAAUCCAAGAAUCCAUCGCAUAGCAUACGAACGCGAGGAGUCAAAAGAAGAAGAAUGGGUUAAAAUCCCAUUUUCGAAGAGGCUAAGAGACUUAAAAGUCUCACUUUUUAUCUUAUUUAUUUAUCUAUUGUUCUUUCUUUUAUCAUUAUUUAUUUAUUUAUUUGGGCCUCAAAGCCAAAAUUGUAAACUAAUACAGGUGGAAUAGAUUCAGGCCAAUAAGAAAAAAAAAAAAGUACAAGUGGAGUGCUAAUCGAGCCAAAAAUGGCUCGAAAACAUAGAAUUAGGACAAAAGAAAAUGGGUCGAAAACCUAACUAGAUUAGGAUAGGGUUGACGGUUUGGGCUUAAAGGCCUAAAUCACUACUACUUUCCUUUUCCCUUUUUCCUUUUUGCUUACCUGUUCUACGUGUUUUUGCGAACCUAGUGAAACCCCAAACUAAGUCGCUAAAAACUGAUUUUGCAAAAGAAAACUUUCAAAUAUUCCUUAAUCAAUUACUUUUCUAACAAAUUAAUUUUUUUUUAAGUUAGUCAAAAGAUGUUUUCAAAUAGUUCAGAUAAUCACAAGUUAGCGGACGUUUUAGGUGCUUAACACCUUCCUAAAACGUUAAUAAAAAUCGCUUACUCAGAAUCUUUAAAUUUUAAACAAUUUUUUUGUUUUGGAUCGUUUAAAGUAUUUUAUAAAGGUUUUUUAAUACCUUUUCAAAAUUAAGUGGCGACUCUUCAAUAAUUCAAAAUUUCUGCAAAAUAUCUACCUAUUUUUGUUAUUGUUGCUCUUCUUGUCAAUCUGCAUUUCCUUACCUGAUCUUAAGGCAAUGGACUUAAGAUGCUCUUUCGAAUUUAUUUAUUUUUUUGUAUUGCUUAGUAAGGAACCUUGAAUUUUUUCUGAAAAAAGAGUUGCCAGAUGGCUUAGCUGAGUUUUCAUAUUUUUAAGGGUUGAAUCAUGAUUUUCAAUCUUUUCAUCUGUAGCCUUAAUGUGCUUGUACAAAAGGUCAUCAAGAUUUGAAUUAGCAUGUUGAGGCCUUUGCUAAUAUGAAGUUGCUUGUUGAUAAGAUUUAAAGUUUUAAUGUAUAUGGUUUAUAUUUGAGAAGCCAAGUGGAUUUUGUAGUACAUGUUUUUAGGAAGCUUGAGAGUUCUCAGCAUAAUUGAAUUGCUCUACUGAAAUUCUGGACAUUUUUGUGCCACUGAACUUCCAAAAGGAUACAGCAUGUAUCUAAUGGCGUUAACCUGCUCAUCAUUUUGGUUGGUCACUUGACAUUUAUGAUUUAGGUGGCUUCCUCCACACAUACCACAAACCUCGGACUGGCUUGUUUGUUGUGUAUUUACCUAAAAAGAUUCAAACUUCUGUGUUAAAGAAGUAAUUUAUUGGAUUAAUGUAUUUAAGGAAUCUGCUUGAUUUACACUAGCACCCUUCUUGAUGAUUAUAAGUAAGCCAACAGCCCAAUGAACCGGGCGGGGCACUCAAAUAAAGGGGGCCAUUGAAUAGCAUUUUUAUAAAUUUCAUUCAACAAAUUCAAUGCCUCUUCAGUUGUUUUUCCCAUUAUGGAGCCACCUAUAGCUGCAUAGAUCACGUUUUUAGAUGAAGGUUUUAGAUCGUGAUAAAAAAUAUAAGAUUGCAUGUGUUCAAAAAUAUCAUGAUGUGGGUAUUUUCUUAGCAUUGCCUUUAAUCUCUUCCAGACUUGAUAAACUAACUCAAUAUUAGUCUGAAAAAAAUUAGAUAUAUCCUGUCUUAAUUUUGUUGUUUUAGUAGGAGAAAAAUAUUUGUUUAAAAAGUUUUGAGUCAUAUGAUCCCAUGUGGUAAUAGAACCUUGAGGCAAACUUUGCAAUCAAGUCUUGGCAUAUCCUUUUAAAGAAAAAGAAAACAACCUAAACUUUAUUGCUUUAGGAGACACUACAUUAUACUUAGCAGUUUCAACAAGUUCCAAAAAAUUAAUCAAGUGACUAUUUGAAUCAUUACUUUGAUCAUCAGUAGAGAUACAAGAUUGUUGAAUUAUUUGAAUCAGGUUUGUCCUAAUUUCAAAGUUGUUGGCUGCUUUAGUGACUUUCUAACACUUGAUUCACAAUUAAAGUGGUCUGGUGUAGCAUAAUCCGUUAGGAUUCUUUGUGUUGCCCUUGGCGUCACUUCAUCAAACUGAUCUUCUACAUAGAAUGGUGAUGGAAUCUCCUGUGGAUUGACCUCAUCUCCUUGUUUAUGAAAGUUCUAUUUGGUCACAGGUUAUUUCUUAAGAAACUAUUUAUUCUUUUCUGUGAAGUCGCAAAGAUCUUUCAAUUUCAGGAUCAUAAUUGGCCAACUCUUACGUGGAAUAGCAAGCCAUAGAUAAUUUGAAAUUUAAAGUUCAAUCAAUUAAACACAUCACUAAUAAAAUUUCUCUUUUUAUUUUUACUAAAUUUAGAAAUAAAAAUACUAAUUAUUAGUUUAACAAGCAUACAAUGAUACAAGCCCAAAAAGUCCUACUUAAUAAGUAUAAUAGCAACAAUAAAAUAGAACUAUUAAUAUCAUUAUAUCAACAAUAAUAGCAAUAAUAAUAUUUAAGAAUAACAACAACCGUUAUGAUAAUAAAUUCUCAAAUUAGCAAUAAAAUAUUUAAUCUAAAGUAGACCUGUAUCAAUUUCUGGAUACGACGUCAAACAAUUGACGAGGCAAUAUCUAUAGGAUUCUAUUGCUCGUACUCUGUCAAAUUCUAAUAUAGUUUAUGAUAUCGUCCCACAAGGUUGAAAGAUCUACGCUACUGACUUUUAAUAUGGUUGAAAGAUCUAUGCUACUGACUUGUAAUAUCUAGACUAAUAUUUAAGAGAACAAAAUUGACAAAAGGUUAGUUGGAAUUAAAGAUUACUUAAAACUAAAACAAAUCACUUUUUGAAAAACUAAUAAUUAAAAAAAAGUUGGGAAUCAUUAAAUUCACUUGAUAAUAUUUUCACAAUAAAAUCCCUGCCUCCAAAUAUAUUUUGUUCUAAAGGAUAAUUGUUUAUUGCUAAUACAAUUAUAUUUUGUCACUAAAAAUAAAUAAUUAAUUAACACUCUGUGAGGUUAUGUCAAUUAACAGAUUUAAUUCUAGUAACUAUUAAAUCAAUAUUCUCUUGCCUACUGUGCUAAAAAGGAUAAAAGUCCUCUUUUAAUUAGUCCUUAAAUCAAUAAACUUAUUUGAGAUAAUUUCUCCAUGAGAAUUAGGACUAAAAUAAAUAAGAUAAAGAUCCUUUGAUCAAUAAACUCGUUUGAAUUAAUCCUCCAUGAGAAUUAGGAUGUAAAAAAACAAGUGUCACGUCCUUUUUUAAAACCAAAAAGAUACAUUUUUAAGUUUGAAAAUGGUUUUAUUAAAAGUGACAAAAAGAUGAAAAAAAAAUCAAAAAAGAGUUUUUUUACAGUUAAACUUAGAGUUACCACUUGACAUAAAUCUGGUUUUAUUAAGAUUCUAGUUAAGAAAUUUUGUUUACCAAGGGAAAGGUAUUAGGCAUCCCUCAGUCCCGUGAUUCGACCACGAUCGCUUCGUGGAGUAUAUCAGCUAAUACGACACUAUGAAAUGCAUAAACCAAAUAAAACACUCAACAAGAAAACAAACAAUCAAACUAUCAAAACUCCAAAAAUAGGGUCCAGUCCAAUUUAUUACAAACCAAAAUAAAAAAUGUUGAAAUGAAAAUGUAAACUAUGCUUUAACCAAUGCAUUGGGCCUUGAUCACGAUCGCUCUUUCAAAUACAGAGUAUUGCGAGGCAUUCCUCGAUAGAUAUAUACAUAUAACCUCAGGGCAUUUUCUGAAAAAUAAAUACAUUUGAUAGAAAUGCGCUAAACAGAAAGGAAAUCAAUCAAAACAAACAUCCGCACAUUUGAUAAUAUAGAAACCUAUGAUUUUCCUACACAAAAUCUAAGAUUUGCCUAUCGAUUCUCGAUCUACACAUGAUACUAUCGCGUUCGACAAAUUUGACAUUAAUUCUGAAUUAAACAACCAUCGAUGAAUCAAAAUAACCAAUAUCCGUCUUUAUCAAUUUUUAAUUUCCAAUCCAAAUUUUAUUCUUGAUCAAUGAUUAACUAAUUCUUUGGCUAUCAAUUCAAUUUUCUCUUUUCAAUUUUCAACAUCCAAAUCCAACAAUCAAUGACAUACACACAACAAAGAUCCAAGCAUAGUAAGCACACAAGUCAUUCAUACCCACAACAACAACUAAAAUUCAAGAUAAAAUAGAGAACGAGAGGCAAAUGGACCUCAAAUUUAAGCUUUUCAAGUGUAAUUGCUCUUUCCAACUAGAAUCGUGAUCAAAAUCUCGAACUGAACCUUAACGAAACAAACAAAUCCCACUUCGGUAUACAUUUUACUAAUUUUUGCCAAUACAAACCAGCAAUUGAAUGAGAAGACGACACUUGUGCCUGCUUAUGAGGUUUGGUCACCAAUUUCUAUGGGUUUUCUGGUGAGUCUCCAUCAGUUUUGAGUUGGCUGACAUUUUUGGUGUAUUUUGAUGAGGGUAUCGCGGUAACAAUAACAAGCAACGACUGGUGAUGCUUUUCGAUGGCGAUUCCGGCGAUGAUUUCACCGAAAAAACUCUCUCUCUCAUACCUUUCUCUCAUUUCUCACUGUUCUCCCUUUGGUUUUCCCCUACUCUCUCUCACAUUUCCUCUCUAGAUUUAUCUUCUUCUCUUCAUACCGUUUUUUCUUCUCUAAAGUUCCUUUCUCUUAUUUAUCCUUCUCAAUUCACCUUAGUUUCUUUCACUAUUUUUCCCCAAAAAUCCUUAUUUUUCUACCCCCUUUUAAUCUUCGAUUGGGUAUGUCUAUAUAGAAAAUUCUCCCCUUUGUGUAUGAAUCUGUGUAUUUAGUCUUGUAUGUAUAUGUGAGUAUAUGGGUUUGUUUUUGGGUAUGUGUAUAGUGUGUAUUCUUUCAGUUAGUGUGUAGGUGUGAUAUGUGUGAGUGUGUAUUCUAUUAAGGGGAAGAGGAAAAUGUGAAGGGGAAGGCUAAGGGGGUAUGUGGGGUAGGGGUUAUUGGGGUGGUUAAGGUAAGGCGAGAUGUCCACCUUUAAUUGGGUGAGGUGGCUAAUUUGUUAUAAGGUGGCUAAUUUGUUAUAACUUUGUUAUUUUGUUUUUAGUGGGGAAGUAUUAAAUGGGGUGGGUUGUAUGGUAUGGGUUUGAGAGAAUGGGAUAAAUUGACAUCUAAAAAGGAUCAAAUUUACUAGUCUAUAUCAUGCCCCUCUUUGGAUGUAAACACAGUAUUUUUUUAAAUAAAGAAGUAGACAACGAGACAAAAUUUAAACCGACCAUUAUUUUAAAGAAAGGAAAAGAAAGAUAGAUUGCAACCAAAACUUGAUUUUGGGCAUCCUAUCUAUCCUAGGUUUUGUAGGAAUCAGAUCACAUGUAGUUUCCAGAUAGAAAAUGAGAGGGACUAUAUCAAGUUGGAGAGUCGAGUGAGGUCCUAUCGAGGUUUUGGUCUGCAGCUCUGUCAUUACAUCAAAAAUGAAAAUUACAAGUUAAAAAAGAUAAAUGAAAUUACAAAAGUGUAUCUAUGCAACUUCUCUUGACUCUUGACUUGAGGCUUCAAUGAUUUCAAAAGUGAUAAAAUAUCUGAUCUUCUUUGGGUUGAAUGUGAGAAUAAUUCUUUCCCAAUACAAAAUUUGGUAUUGGAGUUGAACUCAAAAAUUGAACAUGUUCUGCAAGUGGUACUUCUGAAUUUGAACUUGAACUUGAAAAUCCUUACCCUAUUCUCCAGGCGGGCUCCUGCCUUUCAAUUUCUUCACCCUGUUCUCCAGGCGGAUUCCCGAUUUUCUAUUUUAUCACCCUAUUGUGGGCUCCUGACUUAAAAUUUCAUCACCCUGUUCUUCGAGCGGGCUCUUAACUAGCAAUUUCCUCACUCUGUUCUCUAGGCGGGCUCCUGAAUUUCAAUUUCAUCACCCUAUUUUUUGGGCGGGCUUCAAACUUGUAAUUUCAUCAUCCUGUACUCCAGUGGGCUCCGAACUUGCAAUUUCAUCAUCCUAUUCACUGGGUGGGCUAUCGAUUUUCUAUUUCAUCACCCUGUUCUCUGAGCGGGCUCCUGACUUUCAAUUUUAUUACCUUGUUCUUUGGGCGGGCUCUCGACUUGUAAUUUCAUCACUCUGUUCUUUAAGCAGGCUCCCGACUUGCAAUUUCAUCACCUUGUUCUCCGACUGGCUCCAGACUUGCAAUUUCAUCACCCUGUUCUUCGGGCGGGCUCCCGACUGUAAUUUUUUUACCUUGUUUUCUGAGUAGGCUCCCGACUUGAAAUUUCAUCACUCUGUUCUUUGGGAGGGCACUCAACUUACAAUUUCAUCAUUUGGUUAUCUAGGCAAGCUCCUGACUUUUAAUUUCAUCACCCUGUUCUCCGGACGGGCUCUGAAUUUGUAAUCUCAUCUCACUAUUAUUCCGGUGGUCUCCCGACUUGUAAUUUCAUCACCCUGUUCUUUGGGUGGUCUCUCGACUUGUAAUUUCAUCACCUGUUCUCCAAGAAGGAUCCUGACUUGCAAUUUCAUCACCUUGCUCUCCGAACAGCUCCCGACUUACAAUUUGAUACCCUGUUCUCUGGGCAGGAUCCCGACUUGCAAUUUUCUCACUCUGUUCUCCAGGCGAGCUCUUGACUUCCAAUUUUAUCACUCUAUUCUUUGGGCGGGUGCCCGACUUGCAAUUUCAUCACUCUAUUCUCUGGGUGGGCUCCCGAGUUGCAAUCUCAUCACCUUGUUCUCCAGGCGGGCUCCCGAAUUACAAUUUCCUCACCCUGUACUCUAGGAGAGCUCCUGAAAUCAAAAUCAAAAUUAGAAUAAAAAUUAUGCCAAACAAAGAUUAUGAUAAAGAAAGUUCCAUUUUCCAGAAAAAUAAAGUCUUUUUUUUCUAUGAGGGUUAUAAAAUGAAGUUCUAAAUAACAUGAAUUAAAUUUUUUGCUCUAAUUUAUCAUCAGAAAACUUUUGUGGGUGUCAAUCUAAUCACAGCUACUUGCAAAAUGCCUAAUGCAGAGGCGAAUCAAGACUCUGAUCAAUAGAUGCAUCUCUAAAGGAUAAAAUUAAAUGACCAAGACCAACAAGUGCGUCUCUUAAGGGAAAAAAGCAAAAGAUUCUGACUAAAAAGUGCAUCUUUUAGGAUUAACAGUUUAAAUUAGGAAUUUCACCUCAUAUCCAUGAAACAUGAAAGACCCAAAUUAGAAAGUGUGUCUCUUAGGGGUACAAGAUGAUGAGUUUUACCAUAAUUAUGAUUAUCAAACCUAUGCAGCAACAUUUCCUUUUGUAUUUGCAGAAGUGAGGAAUUGCAGCCUUUGAUAUUUAGGCUCUGAAGUCCUUGAUUUGAAGGUAACAUGUGUUCCUGUUUCAUACAAAGAAAACUUGUGAGUUUAAAAAUAUGGUGGUUAGUUUGUGGCUUUAGCUCUCAAGGUAAUCACUCUUGAACUUGUCACAUUUAACUUGCUUUAAACUAUCGGCAUAUGUCAUUGUCUUGCUGCACCCUUGAUCCAAACUUAGAUUGUUAAGAGCGACUCUAAAAUAAACACAAUAUCUCUAUUUUGCUAUGUCUAUCGGAUAAACUCUUUGAACCAUGGUAUUUCCCCGAAUCCCUACACUUGUCUGUUGACAAAAACAUUUUGCAUGCCUUGUUUUGGCUUACUAUCAUGUUUUUUAUGUGUUGGCCCAUUGUCUUGCUUCGUGCAAUUGAAGAAGUUGGUAGAAAGUUUUAAAAUAGUGUUUUGACAUGGACUUGACUCAAAGACAUACAAAAAUGAUCAUGAUUUUCAAUUGGGAUAAUAAACUCAAAGAACGAAAAUAGAAAUAUAGAGAAAGAAGAAAAGACAAUUAAUGUCUCCUUUUUUAAUACAGAGAAAAGAAAAAUCUAUCUGAAUACGGAAGCUAUAUAUAAUGCUUAUGAUAUGCAUUUUGGAUUAAGAAAUCUUUCCAUCCAAACUUUUACCACUUUUUAUUGAGUUAAUGACCCUAAAACUGAGUUGUUUACUCUGGCUAAUUGCACUCAUAGACCUCAUUCGUCUAGUGACGCCUUGAAAGAUUUUUGCGAACAAGCCUCUCUAAUUUUCUUUCUCUCAACUCACUAUCUCCCUACGACGUCCGUGAGGGUUUUCACCAGUGAAACUCUUUCAUUUUUAUUUCUCUCAUCUUACUAUCACCUUAUAGUGCUCGUGAGGGUUUUCACCAAUAAGACUCGCAUUUUUAUUUUUCUCAGCUCAUCAUCACCUUGUGUAGUCUGUGAGAGUUUUCACCAAUAAUACUCUCUCAGUUUCAUUUCUCUUAACUCGUAAUCGUCCUAUGGUGCCGGAGAGAGUUUUCACCAAUAAAACUCUCUCAUUUUAUUUCUCUCCAUUCACAAUCGCCUUACAAUGCUUGUGAGAGUUUUCAUCAAUAAGACUCUCAUUUUCAUUUCUCUCCUGAUUACUUAUGCUGAUGAAGAAAAGUAGUACCCAAAAUAGAACAUCAUAUUAUUCACCACAUGCUUAAGCCAUAAUAUUCAUAAAGAUCGAUCUGAAGGUCUUUCUUUUGUUGUAACAUGGCAUUUGGAUAAGGUUAGAAAGAAAGGAUGGCAUGAGGCUCAAAUGACACUUGAAGUGGGUGAGAUUUAAAACUUUUGGAAUUGCUUCAAACAAUGAAUAUUAACUCUGCCCCUGUUUCUUUUGACUGGAUAAUUCUAAAUUAUUUAUUUGGUUAGACUGAACCCUAGAGUAGGGUCGCCUAUGGAUCUCACCCCAAAAGAGAAGAAUUGGGUCAAACGUAGCUCCAAAAACUUGUUCUUUUGCUUGGUUUAGAUUUCUUUUUUUCUUCUUUCUUUGACAUUUUCUUCGAGAAUUUUCUGACUCUAUUGUCUUGACACUCUUAUCUCUUUUUUUCUUUUUAACACGCUUUUUUCCUCUCUCUUUUUUGAACUUUUCUGACUCUGUUUUUUGCUUGACACUUUUCUUUAAAACUUUCCUAACUCUAUCUUGAUUCCAAAAGAGGGGUAUGAAAGAAAAUAGAACUAAAGUCAAACGGGGUGUAGAUUUUGUCACAAGAAUGAACUAAAUGUCUUCUUACGCUUUUGUCAAAUGUACAACUCCAUUCUUGUAUUACACACUCAUAGGCAUGUUAUUAAUUAUUUUUCUUAAUCAAUGUAUCAUCUCAAUUUGGGACGGUAAUUUGGGACGGAGGGGGUAUAAAGAAAUGCAUGGCUCAACUAAUUUAUUACCAAAUGAACAUCUUUUUCAUUUUUGUAUGGAGAAACACGUGAAACAACUAAUCCAAAAAGAAGAGUAACGACAUUUUUUUUUCGAAAGAUAUUUAUACAAUCUUUCUAAAUUCUUGAUUCUGAAUUUCAUACAAAAAUAAAACCUACAAUUAUUGAAGAAAAAUAUUUUUGUAUUUUUCAGAUAAAGCAACAUGUGCUAACAACUAAUCUAAAAUACAACAACAACAAACACAGUGUAUUCCCACAAAGUGGGGUCUGGGGAGGGUAAAAUAUACGCAGUCCAUACCGCUAUCUCCAAAGAAGUAGAGAGGUUAUUUUCGAUUGACCGUGGCUCAAGAAAGAGAAUAGUAAAUAAGAGCGUAAUGAAACAUGAAGCAUGAUGACUGGCAUAACAUAAAAAGAGAUAAGACAUAAUAAAAUAAAAAUCAAAGCAAUACGAGAUAAGAUAAAUAAGCGCAAUAUGAAAUAAAAGAUAAGAAAUAGGACAUCAGGAAUACGACCCCCACCUAUUAGUAACAUGCACUCACAGACCAGAGACACCCGCCACACCUAGAUCCUCCUGACUAGGGGCUCCUUCCUAUGGACACAGUCCCAGGAUUACUAACCCGACUAUACAUGAGCUCUUGUAACUACUUGCUACAACCCAUGCACACAUCCUAGCCUUCCACCCUUAUCUGCGGCCUCCACACCUUCUUAUCUAGGGUCAUGUCCUCAGUAAGAUGAAGCUUCUCCUAGUCAUGUCUAAUUACUUUUCUCCAGUACUUCUUCAGUCUACCUCUCCUCCUCCUGAAGUCAUCCAACGCAAGCCUCUCAUACCUACGAAUUGGGGCAUCUGUGCCCCUCUUCUUAAUAUGCUCAAACCAUUUCAACCUUACUUCCCACUUCUUGUCCUCCACCGAAGCCACUCCCACCUUCUCCCGGAUAGUCUUAUUCCUAACUCUAUCCCCUCUAGUAAGUCCACACAUCUAUUGCAACAUUCUCACUUCUGCCACCUUCAUCUUUUGAAUGUGGGAGUUCUUGACUGGCCAACACUCUGCUUCAUAUAGCAUGGCUGGACGGACUGCCACUCUGUAGAAUUUUUAUUUAAGCUUAAGUGGCACCUUCUUAUCACACAACACUCCCGAGGCGAGCCUCCACUCCAUCCAACUUGCUCCAAUACGGUUAGAGACAUCCUAAUCAAUCUCGCCAUUCCCCUAAAUCAUGGACCCAAGAUACUUAAAACUAUCCCUCUUACAAACAUCCUGGGAAUCCAACUUCACCACCAUAUUAUCUUCUUGCCUCAAGUCACUAAACUUGCAUUCCAUAUACAUCGUCUUGGACCUACUCAACCUGAACCCCUUAGAUUUAAGGGUUUGCCUCCAAGCCUCUAACUUUUCAUUCACACCCCCUUCCCCACACUCAUUAAUCAACACUACAUCAUCCGCAAACAACAUACACCAAGGCACCUCCUAACAACUAAUCUAAAAUGCAGAAUUAAAAAAAUCUUUUAUCAUUAUUUCAAAAGAUAUAGACAAAAAUCUUUUUAUAUUUUUAUUUUAAAUUUCAUUCACAAAUGAAAUCUAAAACUACUAAAGGAAAAAUCUUUUUGUAUUUUUUGUUUUUAAAUACGUAUAUUAAACAUCAACUCUAAAAUGAAGAGAGAGAAAAAUAUUUUUGAAUUUUUUGAAUAAGAUCACCGAACCCAAGAAGUAUUGCCUACGUAUUUCAUUCCCAAAAGAGUAGAAUCAGAUGUGCGUAAUUCAUCCAGAUUGGAUAGUUAAAGACUAAGCGACAAACUGAACCCCGACUUGAGGCAUGACCAAAACAAAUGAGGAAACAUGCAAGUAAAAAUCUUUUUUAAGGUUUUCAUUUAAAACUUCAUAUAACAAUGACAUAAAAGAAAACAGGAAAGGUCAAUCUUUUUUGUUAUAUUCGCAUUAAAUAGUACAAAAAUAAAGCACCAACGGGAAUAAAAUAAUUUUAAAAUUUGCAAUAUAGAAAAAAAUGAAGACCCUAAAGGAAAAUCUUUUUGACAUUUUCAUUAUAUGAAAUGUACAAAACUUAUAACAUUUUUUAUUUUUGUUUUAUAAAAAGCUCCUAUUAAAAAAAAAUUUAAAAUUUUUGAGUUAUGAAUGCAUGCUACAGGAAACAAAGGAAAAAUCUUUUUGGUCUUUUGUUUUUUGAGAAAAAGGCAUGCAAAAAGUAAAAAAUCUUUUUGAAUUUUUGAUUGUGGUAAACAAAAACCAUAAAGAACUACUAAAAACUAUGAGACUCUUUUCUUUUUUUUCUUUUUCUUUUUUUCUUCUUUUUUUCUUUAUUUUUCCCUUCCCUAAAAAUACGUUUUCCCUUAAUUCUAGCACAUGCUUCCCCCAAAUGAGUCUGUCAAAUGAACCUAUUACCCUUAAAGAUACAACAAUCAGCACGUAGGGAUACUUAGGAUAAGUCACCUAUAAAGGACCAAACAGGUCUAGCCAGGUCUUAAUAUGAUGCAAAUAAGAAUGACCUAAAGGUUGACCUAGGCUUGCGUUCAACUAACAAGGUUGUUCGGGGGAGCGUAUGGUCGAUAGUGGCUACAAUAGCUUUCUACCUACUCCAUACACCUGAUAUCCCCCUCCUAAAAUAAAGGUGACUCAACGAAUGUUUGUGUACACACGUGUACUACGGGACUUGUUGCGAAAGAAAUGACUCGAGAUAAUGCAAAUGAUGAAAGAUAUAUAAAGAAAAGUUAUAAACAAAGAGCACGUAGACAUCCAAGAAUGAUAAAACAAUAACACAAAUAAAAUGUCUAUACACAUAUAGUGUUAAACUAAGCCGAUAUAACUCAAAAAUAAUCUCAAAUUCUAAAAAAAAUGCACAGUGGAGUCACCAGAGCUGUCACACACUUUUUUUAAACGAAAAAGAUUCAUUUUUUCAUUUAUUUAAAUCAAAAAGUUUUAUUUUUAAGUUCAAAAAGGGUUUAAUUAUUGAAAGAGACAAAAACAUAAAAAUUUAUUUCAAAAAGAAUUAUUUUUACAAUUAAACUCAUAUUCGUCAGUUGGAAAAAAUCUGGUGUACCAAGUCACCUUUGGAAAUCCUUUUUCAGAACUAUUUUUCACUCUUAAAAAUUGAUCCGUGAAUAGAGAUUCCGGUUAAGGAAUUCUGUUCACCAAGAGAAAGGUGUUAGGCAUCCUUCAGUUCCGUGGUUCGACCACUGUCGCUUCGUGGAGUGUAUCGGCUAGUACGACACUAUGAAAUGCAUAAACCAAACAAAACACAAGACAAGAAAACAAGCAAUCAAACAAUCAAAACUCCAAAAAUAGUGUCCAGUCCAAUUUUUAUGAACCAAAAUAAAAAAUGCUAAAAUAAAAUCCUAAACUAUUCUAACUACCCUAACUAUGCUUUCCCAAAAAUAGGUCUCGAGAUAUCAUACGGUGCUAAAGACUACAAGUAGCCUUUAGCUAAUCAUGUAAGCCUUCUACUAAAUCUGAAGCUCAUAAUAAAGGAAUAUAGAUAUAUAAUCAAAGCUAAAAUGUGAAACUCUGUCUGAGCUAAGCUGAAAUUAUCUAAACAUAAUAUCUAAAAAUAUUAGACUUCUGGACAUUCAACACUGAAAAAUCUGAAUAGCAACUAGCAGUCUGACAAGCCUUUACUACUAAUAACUAGAGAGCCACUUGGACAAGCCCCUAGCUAACUCAAACUGACUAAAAAUACUGAAUCAACUACUAUAAUAAACUAGAGGAAAACUGAAUAACUAGGUCCCCGAACUAUGAGAACUCACCAACUGUCAGAAUGUAGAUGGAGAUGCUUGAAAUCAUUUACACUGCUGAAACUGAUCACCUGAACCUACAUUACGAGAUAAUAUAGCAUAUAGACGUAUAUGUGGAUCAAUACUUCUGUAAUGUACUGAGUAUAUGGGGUGAAUGCAUAAGUAAAAUAAUAUCUCAACAUUAGUAUAGAUUUGCAAAAGAAUGCAUACUAAGUGUAGAUGACUCACAAUAGCUUGAAUAACUGAAAACUGAGAAUCAUGAUCAUGAAUAAUAAAGCAUGUUGUAUAAAUCUAGUAAGUCACAACACUUAGUUCUAAAAGUUGUACUUGUAUUCUAUCUUGAAAUCAUACUGUCUAAGUGUGGAAAGGACUCACUUUUAUAUCUGUCAACUGAAAGUUGAUAUCUUAUAGCCAAUGUCUUAUAUAAAGCAAUAUCUGAACAAAACUAUGAACCUUUACACUUAGUUUCUAAAAGAUGUUUUGUCAUUUUUUUGUAGCCUUUUUCUAUUAGGGAGGUUCUUCUAACCGACAUACUAUGUGAGCUAUCAUAAUGUCCAACGUCUAGUUUUCUUAUGGGAAAACCUCACGUUGGGGAGAGGUAUCAUACUUUUGCCAAGGAGUAUAACCUAAUCUAAGUGAUCACAUCUGUAACUGUCAUCCAUAUAGAAAUGGAAAUAAUCUGAUAAUUUGUACCUACGUUGGCUUGUAGUUCUGGGGCAUAUAAACAUACCCAACUCGGUGCUAAUACUACUCCCUUUAAUCUGUAUGCUCAUUCUGUAGUAAAUCCACUUUUAAAACUAGUAUAAGGGUUUACAAUGAAAACCUCUUAUGAAUUUAUUUACUGUAAACUGUAGUUAAAUUUGUAAAGUAGAUUCCAUAUCUAGGCUGAGAUCAAAAUAUCAAACCUUUGUUCAAAAUCUGAAUAUAACAAAUCAUGGGAUUCUUAAAAGCAUAAUCUUCUUGAAAUAACAACAUUCAAACUAGGGCUAAUAAUCCAUGCAUCUAUUUCAUGUCAAAUCAUCAUAAAGUUAAUGCUUGAUAAUGAAAAUAUGGAUGAUUUAAUUCCAAAUCUGAAAAUUACUGCAAUAUGCAUAAAAAUACGAAAGUAGACAUGUAAUUCAACAUCUAAAUCUCUCAAUAUCUAAUAAUUCUUCAAAUAGGAAAAAGUGGGUAUAAACCCUAAACUGAAAUUCAUAUAAUUUCAUAUAAAAUUCAACUUUAAAACUAAUUUUGAACACAAGGAUGAAAGAAUUAUCCUUGUUGAAAAUCCCACAUACCUUGUUGGAAUAAUUGAAUGUCAAAGCUUGAACUUUUGAAUCUUUAAUGGUGUUCUCGAAGCUUUUUCUUGAAGUUCUUGAACCCGGAAGUGUGGAUUAUUGACUUUCUUGAAGAAGGAGUAAUGGGUUGUUCUAGAUUUCAUAGAGCUAGGAUUUUUCUUAGAGAGGAAGAAGAUGAAUAAUGAUGCAUCUAAGCUAUUUGAGACUGAAAUUAUGUGUUUUGGACGGUUUUGAUGUGGGACAAAAGACAUUAUUGUCCUCCAACACGCAGAGUUAAAAGCUAAAAAAUUCAGGAGCAUGUGUCGCAUGCUCUGGAACUAUGGAAUAGAGCGUGCAUCGUAUGCUCUAUCGCAUGCUCCCUAGGGGUAUACUGGAGCGUGCGUCGCACAUUGUUCUCCUGCAGCUACUGUUUUGGACUUCCAAACAUGGACUUACGCUUGUCUAAAAGCUCCAAAACUCACCCGAGAUGUACUAGUUACUACCCCGAUCAAGAAUCAACUUUAAAAUCAACCAUACAAUCUUGAAAAGGUCGGGAAAAAAGUCAUCAAAGUUUAAGGGGUCAAAAUAAGACUAAGUCUCCAACACUUAGUUUUAUUUCAGGUUCUAAGUAUCUUCAGCACGCACUAUGGGUGGAGUUGAGUUACGAAAGUUUGGCGUAUUACAUUUACCCGAUGCCUCAAGCCUUGAUCACGAUCGAUCUUUCAAAUAUAGAGCUUCGCGGGGCAUUUUUCGAUAGAUUGUGACGUUGGGACAUUUCCCGAUGAAUAAAUACAUUUGAUAAAAAUGCACUAAAAUAGAAAGAAAUCAUUCGAAACAAACAUCCGCACAUCUAUAAUAUAGAAACCUAUGAUUUGCCUAUCCAAAACCUAAGAUUUGUCUAUCGAUUCUCAACCAAUACAUGAUACUAUCGUGUUCAAUAAAUUUGACAUUUAUUCUUAAAUAAACAACCACUAAUGAAUCAAAAUAACCAAUAUUUGUCUUUAUCAAUUUUUAAUUUUCAACCCAAAUUUCAUUCUCAGUCAAUGAUUAACUAAUUCUUGGCUAUCAAUUCAAUUUUUUCUUUUCAAUUUUUCAACAUCCAAAUCCAACAAUCAACCACAUACACACAACAAAGAUCCAAGCAUGGUAAGCACACAAGUUAUUCUUACCCACAACAAUAGUUAAAAUUCAAGAUAAAAUAGAGAACGAGAGGAGAAAUGAACCUCAAAUUUAAGUCUUUCAAGUGUAAUUGCGCUUUUUGACUAGAACUGCAAUCAAAAUCUUAGAACGAACCUCAACAAAAUGAACAAAUUCAGCUUCAGUAUACCCUUUAUUAUUUUUUGCCAAAACGAACCAGCAAUUGCGCAAGAGAGACGAAACCCGUGCCUCCUUAUGAGGUUUGGUCUCCAGGUUUUUAUGGGUUUUCGAUGAGUCUUAGGCGGUUUUGUGUUGGAUAACAUUUUUUGGUGGAUUUUCCAUGAGGGUGGCACCGCAACAGUAACAACCAAUGACUGGCAGGGCUUUUCGGUGGUGAUUCUGAUGAUGAUUUCGCCAGAAAAACUCUCUCUCAUCGAUUUUCUCUCUCUCACCUUUCUCUUAUUUCUCACUGUUCAUCCUCUGAUUUUUUCCUACUCUCUCUCACUUUUUUUUUUCGGUCUCUCUUCUUCUCUCCACACUAUUUUUCUUUUUUCUCAGGUUUCUUUCUCUGAUUUUUCCUUCUCAAUUCACCUCUAUUUCUUUCACUGUUUUCCUCCAAAAUUCUUAUUUUUUCUAAUUUUUUUCUAUCCCCUUUUUAUCUCUGAUUGGGUGUGUCUAUAUCAAAAUUCUCCCCUUUGUGUCUGAAUCUGUGUAUACAGCCGUGUAUGUGUAUGUGAAUAUAUAGGUUUGUUUUUGGGUGUGUGUAUUCUUUCUGGUAGUGUGUAGGUAUGAUGUAUGUGAGUGUGUAUUUUGUUAAAGGAAAGAGGAAAACGUGAAGGGAGGAUAAGAGAGUAUGUGGGGUAGGGUGAUUAAGGUGGUUAGGGUGAGGUGAGGUGUCCACCUUUAAUUGGGUGAGGUGGUUAAUUUGUUAUAACUUUUUUAUUUUGUUAUUUUAGUGGGGGAAGUAUUAAAUGGGGUGGGUUGUGUGGUAUGGGUGCGAGAGAAUGGGAUAAAUUGACGUUUAAAAAGGGUCAAAUUUACAUGUCAACAACAAGAUCAAAAAUUUUGGGAUAAUAGAUAACUAAAGAGUACUUUCACUCCACUAAUUUAUAUUUUAAAUAUCAUAUAUUAAUUUUUCUCUGAGAGAAUUACAAAAUUAAUAUAAAGGUAACUUAGAGAUAAAAUAUAUGAAAAUGAUGAUAAGGAUUUAUUGAAAACUAUUACUCCAGCACAGUUUGGAGUAUAAGUGAAAAUCUUCAAGCCAAGAUGUGUUGAGACUAAGAGAGUAUUAUAAAAAUAUAUAUCAAGCUUCAUCAACUAUCUCAAUAAAAAGAGAUUACUCCGUCAUGGAGUAAGAAAAAUUUAAAAGAACACAAGAAAUAUUUUUUCUACCAGAAAAUGAUUAAAGAAAGUGACCAAGAUCAACUCUUUCUUUCUCGGUAGAAAAUUAGAAAGAAAAUUAGAAUUAAAUAGAUGGUAAUUGGAUGAUCUUCCUCUACAACAUAUGCUUAUUUAUAGAUAAAUUUCUAGUUAGAUCUUGAUGAGAAUUACAUGAUAUUUUCAAUAUAUAAUGAUAUCUUGAUGAGAAUUUGGCAUGAUGAUUUAUCAUGAAAUCUUGAUGAGAUUUUAGCAUAACAAUUAUCAGAAAGCUUUGGUGAGAAAUUCAAAGAUUAUUAUGAGAAUGUUCAUGAUUUUAUCUUUCUUGUUCUUGUAUAGUCUUUGAUGAAUUUGUAGUGGAUGAAUCUUAAUUCCUUGUCUUAUAUCUUCUUUCUUUCUUUAUUCUUAUUUCUCAUUCAUUCUUUUCCCUACAAUUGUUAGAAAAUAUAGGAGAAUUGAAUAUAUUUAUUCAUGAUUUUUAUUUAAAAUAAUAAUUUUUAUAUAUUAAAAUACAUGAAUAAUUUAUACUCAUCGACACUCAUUUUUCCUUAGCUUCAAAUUCACAAACUCCUCCGUCUUAGCUUCCCUUAAUUCCAUAAGAAAGAAGUGGUCAAGGAAAGCGUCAGAAAACUCUUCCCACACAGCUGGUUCAGUAUUUUAACCCCUCAACUCUUCCCACUCAUCAUACCACUAGUAAGCCAUUCCUUUCAACUGGUAGGCUGGAAAUUCUACCUCCUUCGUAUCACUAGCAUGCAUAACUCUGAAUAUUUUUUUCAUCUCGUCCAUGAACUCUUGAGGAUCUUACUUAACCUUGAACUCGUAAAAGUCAGGGUAUUCAGCCUCAUGAAUUGACCAACCCGAGUGACUUCAGAUGAGACAGUGAUAGGACCAACAUAAUCAUAACGACAGAACUGCGAUGUCACAAUCUAAGAAAGCAUGUGAAUGUACUGAUGGAACUCAACAUUCAAGAUCUCUCUCUGUGGAUAUUGAAUAUGGUUAAUACUAGCCCAAGAAGCUUGAGGAGGACUAGUUGGUGCUGGUGGAACUCCAGGGGAGCAGUGAAGUCAAGUGUACGGGCUCUACAUCGAGUUUGCAUAGGGGUGGCAAUUUUAGCCCAUAUUUGUCAAAAGAGUCCAUUUAACCCAUAUUUAGUGACUUGGAUCACUCAUAUUUCAAAUGGGUAAAUAUGGACUUCAACUCAUUUUAAAACCUCAUACAAAUAUGAACAAAAGGGGUAAAAUAUGGGUACCCAUUUAAACACAGAGAUCACCCUCCUAUGCUUAAAGUUUCAGUUUUUUUCUUUUCUAGUUUCUUUUCCUCUUCUUUUUUUCUUUCUUUUUUCCUUUAAUAUACUUUUUUUUAUUUUUCAUUUUUUUUUAUUUUUUUACUCAUUCCUUAUAAUUUCUUUUUUUCUUUCUCAUUUUUUAUCUAUUUUUUUAUUUUUUUUAUUUUUUUAUUUUUAUUUCCCCUUUCUCAUUCUUAUUUCAUCAUUCGUAUCCGCUUGAGACCUACAUGGGUUAAUAAAUAUAAGCUUCUAAUUAUCUCAUUUAGCCUAUAUAAUUCAUAAUAUCUCUUCUUAAUUAAAUAUAAUCCGUAGUCUCACUCCUUUAUUAUUAUUUUUUUCUAUCUUUUAUUUCUCUUUCUUUUUUUUCUUUUUUUUAUUUUUUCUUUCUUUUUUUCCUUUGAUUUACUAUUUUUUUUAUUUCUUUUUUCCUUUAAUUUACUUUUUUUCUUUUUCAUUUUUUCCACUUAUUUUUUACUCGUUUCUUACAUUUUUUUUCUUUCUUCUUUUUCAUCAUUUUUUUCUUUUUCAAUUUUAUUUCUUUGUAUUUUUUUUUGUAUUUCCAUUUCCCCCUUUUUUAUUCUUGGUUCGUCAUUUUUCUUAUUUUUUUAUAUUCUUUUCCUCAUCUUUUUUUUUGUCAUUGCAUUUUAUAUUUUUUUAAUUUAAAUUUAUUUGUAUCAUACUAUAUAUUUUAAAUAAAUUUAUUAGUUGUAUUUGAAUAGUUUAGUUGUCAAUAUGUGCAAUUUAUCAUUUGUAUUUAUAGACAAAUAAGUAUAUGAAUUAAAAUCAACAUGGGUUGUGGUGCAGUGGAUGGAGCUGCUCCACCCUUAAUCAGAGGUCGAGGGUACGACCCUAGUUAUGAAAAAAAACCUCUGUUGGGAGCGCUGCCACCUUAAUGGGUCCUGUAAUGCCCGAUCCAGAUUAGUCGGGGCUCCAACGUAGGCACUGAACAUCGGAUGAAAAACUUAAAAAAAUAUAUGAAUUAAUUGUAUUUUCUUGAGACUAAAAUAUAUAUGGCUGGGGAUCCACAUAGCCCUCGAAUUAUAAAUGUUGGGCGAAUAUAAAUCAAUAUCCGCUUAUGGUAUUUUCGUUAUCAUGAAAAAAAAACCAAAAAUAGAAAAAAAAAAAAAGUAGAAAGAGAGGUAGAAGUUAGAGAUAGAAGAGAGAAAAAAGCGUAAAGAAAGAAAUGAAGAUAAAAAAUACAAAAAAAAAUUAAAAAGAAAAAAUAAUGAAAAGGAGAAAAGGAAAAAGAAAAAAGAUGAUGGUGAAAAUAAAUAUACUGAGUGGUUACGAUAUUUUAGUCAUCAUCCAUAAUUUGUACUCGACUUAACCAUGUUCUUCGAAAAUAAAAAAAAAUAUAAAACAUCAAAUACAACCAAAAAAGAAAAAAAUGAGAAAGAAGUAAAAACAAAAAAAAAAAAACAG